rnacentral:lncRNA from 1 species
CUGGAAAGGAGGAGGGGCCGGCCCAGGUGGCAGGGAGCGUGUGAGUGUAUCAGGCAUCAUCCGAGCGUGGACAAGAGAUGAAGGGAGCACAGCAAAGAGCCCCCGAGCAGGCGCAGGUCACCCAACAGGAGGGAAGACCAGUCAGUGGUGGUUCCCUCGAAAACAGGAAAAUGAGGAUGGCAGAAGCCAUCGCUGACUACUCCAGGCAGUAUUUAGGGCGAAUGGCUCUCUCUGAGGCUCGGAACAAACACCGGUGCUUCGGCGAGGUUGGUUGGCUUGACGACCGACUGACUGACCGACCGGCUGGAAAACAAACAAGGCAGGCGGUGAAUUUACAAAAGAAGCAGGAGAAACACCCGCCGCCCAGAAAGCGUCCCCAGGAUGUCCCCGGGCUUUGAUGGCUCAGCUCACGGGUUUUUCCGCUGGCCUCCCUUCUGUUGUUUUCUUGCAGCGUCGCCAUGGAGACGGGCUGCCCUUCUCUGAAACGGCUUCUCUCGCCGCAAAGAACGCGGUGCAAGACUGACUGCUCCGUUCGAGGCUUUUAAAAACAGCGAGGAACUGAAAAGUUUUAGAGCGGGCAGCAAAUUUAUAUUCUGAGAGCGAUUUGCCACGGCGCUGGAUAUUUUUGAAAGCGGGAACACGGAAGCAGACAGGAGCGUAACCAGAGAAAGGA